GGUUGAACGGAUAUUGUCCGUUUUCAAGAGAUUCAGGCUUCUGGGGUGGGAAGCU
rnacentral:ncRNA from 12 species